GGCGACACAAUCCCUAAUCCCUAGGAGAGUAGCAGCGAGCAAGUCUCGGGCGGCGGCAGGGCAGCGAGGAAGCGGACUCCCGGAGGACAGCGGCCGGCGGAGCCUCGACACCGAUCUCCAUCACCACCAGCAGGCCAACCGCCGCCGGCAUGAGCAAGGGAGCCAAGGCGACGGGGCCGGGGCCGGAGGCGCGGACCACCGUGGUGAGUUCCGCCGCCGUCCAGUUCAGCGUGGAUUACGAGCAAGCCAAGCAGCUUCCCAUCGGCAAGGCCGUCUACUCGGAAGUCGUCUCCACCGGGGCACACCUCUGGAGGAUUGAGUGCUUCCCCCGUGCGGACGAUUUGAAGGACGAGGAGGAGUACCUUUCUGUCUGUAUCACCCACAUGAGCAAAAUGAGCCGAAGCAUGAGGGCCAUCUUGGAGGUCUACCUCAUGGACAGGAACGGCAUACCAUCUAGAACGGAAACUGAAAGGACACUUAAAACCUUCCGAGCCAAGGGCGGCUCCAUCGGAUGCUCAUCAUUCAUCAAGGGAACUACUGUGGAGAAAGACUACCUACUAGAGGGACACAUCACAUUCGUAUGUGCCAUCAUUAUCAUACGCGACGGCUGUAUUCCCGUGCCACCUUCAGACAUUGGGGUCCAUCUUGGUAGCUUGCUAGAUCACACGGACGGGACGGAUGUGGCAUUCAUCGUCGAUGGCGAGACAUUCCAUGCUCACCGUGCGGUGCUUGCUGCCCGCUCGCCGGUCUUCAGAGCGGAGCUCUUUGGCUCCAUGGCUGAGGCUACAAUGUCUUCCAUCGAGCGGCACGACAUCAUGCCCGCUACAUUCAAAGCUAUGCUUCACUUCAUCUACACGGACGCCUUACCUGGAGACGACGAGCUGGGGUGCUCUCCUGUCGAGGUGCUUCAGGAUCUACUUGCCGCGGCAGACCGAUAUGCACUAGACAGGUUGAAGCUGAUCUGUGCCCAGAAGCUAUUGGAGCAUUUGUCUGUUGAUACAGUUGCAACUACGUUAGCUUGCGCUGAGACAUACAACUGUCCGGAGCUGAAGAACAAGUGCUUUGACUUCUUCGCGGUGGAGAAAAAUUUCAAGAAGGCCGUGUUCACUGCUGGCUUUGCGAUGUUGUUGCAGAAAUUCCCAUCAAUUACUGAUGAGCUGAAAAGCAAGGUCGAGACAUAACAUAUACAUCCAGAUGUCAACAGUUCAGGCAUUAGCUUUAAUAUGGUGUUUUGAAGAAUUUGAAUCUUCUCCUUAUGUAGUAUCGCGCUAAGUUGCUGCCAAGCAAUACUUGAUAAGUGAGCAGAAGUGGAUUUUCAGAUAGCACAGAAGCAAAGCUAAGGAGAAUUUGCUAACUAUACUGGUGCAUUUGUGGUUUUGGCUCUCUGUUCUCUUGGGCAUGUCAUGUCCUGAACCUUGGCUUAUGCUUGAUGCUUUUGCUACACCGUUGUAACUAUUAAGAUAUUUAGUAUCUAGCUAUCUAGACCUGGGUUCAUGAGUACUAUGUGAUCAAUGCAAGCAUGUCGCAACUGAGAACACCUGAGUACUGAUGUUGUCAUACCAAAAUUAUGGGGUAUUGCUGUUUUCGUAGUUCAGUCUGAACUAUCUUAUACUGCCAUCA